rnacentral:rRNA from 1 species
AUACGGGGCUUAUGUCUUGUAAUUGGAAUGAUGGGAAUUUAAACCUCUUCCAGAGUAUCAAUUGGAGGGCAAGUCUGGUGCCAGCAGCCGCGGUAAUUCCAGCUCCAAUAGCGUAUAUUAAAAUUGUUGCAGUUAAAAAGCUCGUAGUUGAAUUUCUGCUGCAUUGCAUUUUCUCCUAUACGAGUUUUUGCAUUGUGGCUUAUUUCGGUUAUAAAAUUUAUUUUUAUUUCCGGAUGUUUACUUUGAGAAAAUUAGAGUGCUCAAAGCAGGCUUUUGCCUUGAAUAGUUUAGCAUGGAAUAAUAAAGUAGGACUUUGGUUCUAUUUUGUUGGUUUUAGGUACCAAAGUAAUGGUUAAUAGGAACAGUUG